AUUAGUGCUGACUGUAAGGAUAUGAAAUAGUUAAACUCUUUUUGCUUUAUAUGCUAACCCUGAAAAUAUACACACUGAGAAUCUUGUUAAAGCACAUUUGUAGUGUCCAUGUCUUUAUUGCAAACAAUGAUUCUCCAUCAAUUGGGUGAUUGUCUAUAUUGGGGACACACUUUGGUAAGUUAGUAGUGUGUCCACCCUGAGUCAGCAGUAUGGAAAUGUAAGUUCAGG